UACGUAGGUGGCAAGCGUUGUCCGGAUUUACUGGGCGUAAAGAGCGCGCAGGCGGUCGUUCAAGUCGCGUGUGAAAGCCCCCGGCUCAACUGGGGAGGGUCACGCGAUACUGAUCGACUGGAAGGCAGGAGAGGGUAGUGGAAUUCCCGGUGUAGUGGUGAAUGCGUAGAUAUCGGGAGGAAUACCAGUGGCGAAGGCGGCUGCCUGGCCUGUUCUUGACGCUGAGGCGCGAAAGCUGGGGGAGCAAACGGGG
rnacentral:rRNA from 1 species